CCCCGGUAAACGGCGGCCGUAACUAUAACGGUCCUAAGGUAGCGAAAUUCCUUGUCGGGUAAGUUCCGACCUGCACGAAUGGCGUAAUGAUGGCCAGGCUGUCUCCACCCGAGACUCAGUGAAAUUGAACUCGCUGUGAAGAUGCAGUGUACCCGCGGCAAGACGGAAAGACCCCGUGAACCUUUACUAUAGCUUGACACUGAACAUUGAGCCUUGAUGUGUAGGAUAGGUGGGAGGCUUUGAAGUGUGGACGCCAGUCUGCAUGGAGCCGACCUUGAAAUACCACCCUUUAAUGUUUGAUGUUCUAACGUGGACCCGUAAUCCGGGUUGCGGACAGUGUCUGGUGGGUAGUUUGACUGGGGCGGUCUCCUCCUAAAGAGUAACGGAGGAGCACGAAGGUUGGCUAAUCCUGGUCGGACAUCAGGAGGUUAGUGCAAUGGCAUAAGCCAGCUUGACUGCGAGCGUGACGGCGCGAGCAGGUGCGAAAGCAGGUCAUAGUGAUCCGGUGGUUCUGAAUGGAAGGGCCAUCGCUCAACGGAUAAAAGGUACUCCGGGGAUAACAGGCUGAUACCGCCCAAGAGUUCAUAUCGACGGCGGUGUUUGGCACCUCGAUGUCGGCUCAUCACAUCCUGGGGCUGAAGUAGGUCCCAAGGGUAUGGCUGUUCGCCAUUUAAAGUGGUACGCGAGCUGGGUUUAGAACGUCGUGAGACAGUUCGGUCCCUAUCUGCCGUGGGCGCUGGAGAACUGAGGGGGGCUGCUCCUAGUACGAGAGGACCGGAGUGGACGCAUCACUGGUGUUCGGGUUGUCAUGCCAAUGGCACUGCCCGGUAGCUAAAUGCGGAAGAGAUAAGUGCUGAAAGCAUCUAAGCACGAAACUUGCCCCGAGAUGAGUUCUCCCUGAGACUUAGAGUCU
rnacentral:rRNA from 4 species